rnacentral:rRNA from 1 species
UACGUAGGAUGCGAGCGUUAAUCGGAAUUCCUGGGCGUAAAGCGUGCGCAGGCGGUUUUGCAAGCCGGAUGUGAAAUCCCCGGGCUUAACCUGGGAAUGGCAUUUGGGACUGCAAGGCUGGAGUGCGGCAGAGGAGACUGGAAUUCCUGGUGUAGCGGUGGAAUGCGCAGAUAUCAGGAGGAACACCAAUAGCGAAGGCAGCUCGCUGGGACGGUACUGACGCUAAGGCGCGAAAGCGUGGGGAGCGAACAGG